rnacentral:rRNA from 1 species
UUGCUCUUCAACGAGGAAUUCCUAGUAAGCGUGAGUCAUCAGCUCGCGUUGAUUACGUCCCUGCCCUUUGUACACACCGCCCGUCGCUACUACCGAUUGAAUGGCUUAGUGAGCCUUUGGGAUUGGCAGCUUGUACCGGCAACGGUAGCAGGCCGCUGAAAACUUAGGCAAACUUGGUCAUUUAGAGGAAGUAAAAGUCGUAACAAGGUUUCUGUAGGUGAACCUGCAGAAGGAUCAUUAGUGAAGAUUUGGGCAGGCCAUACGGACGCCAAAAAGUGUCCCUGGCCGCCUACACCCACUAUACAUCCACAAACCCGUGUGCACUGUCUUGGAGAAAGGCUUCAGAGAAGNUUUUUUGUGGCCUCUCUUGGGGUCUUUCUUCGCUACAAACUCGAAUGGUUAGUAUGAACGUGGAACUUGGUUGGACCGUCACUGGCCAACAAACUAUACACAACUUUCGACAACGGAUCUCUUGGUUCUCCCAUCGAUGAAGAACGCAGCGAAACGCGAUAGGUAAUGUGAAUUGCAGAAUUCCGUGAAUCAUCGAAUCUUUGAACGCACCUUGCGCUCUAUGGCAAUCCGUAGAGCAUGCCUGUUUGAGUGCCAUGAAAUCUCCCACCCCAAGCGGUUUUUAAAUGAAACGGCUUGGCGGAUGGGGUCUGGAUGGGUGCCUCUGCCUGCGCUACCUAGCACAGGCUCGCCCGAAAUGCAUGAGCGCCUUGAGACACUUUGCAUCCGCCUCUCUGUUUGGGAGGAGGCGGCCAAGCAGUGCUUUUCUCCUGGCAUGGCAUGAUACGUCAUUUGCUAUGUCGCCUAAAGGAGGAAUGUUUGGUUGUGUCUACGUGUGCUUCGAACUUGCCUCUGUGGCACAUCCCAAUUUCACUUCUGGUCUCAAAUCAGGUAGGAUCACCCGCUGAACUUAAGCAUAUCAAUAAGCGGAGGA